AUAAAGACCGUGGAAGUCCCAGUUUCUUUUCCUCUCACAUCGUCACUGUCCUUGUGGUUUCACCUGUGGUGCUGAUGGCUGCAGUACUUCCCUGGUUGAUCUGGUGUCUCUUGAGAACCAAAGACACUCAACAGCGACAACCAGAACCAAGCCCUAACCCCACAGUACAAGAAACAAUUGAGGCAACCAACACUAUCCCUGCACCCCCUCUGGUCUACAGCGUCCUGGACUUCCCCAAAAGACCUUCGGCA